ACUUAAAUAGUUUAAUAAAAAUAUUAGUUUGUGGAACUAAAGAUAUAAUAGUUAUUUUAGGUA
rnacentral:tRNA from 1 species